GGUACUUACUGGGCAGUACUCAGCUCUGGAGGGAGAAAAGCAUGGCAUCUGUAUCUGGUACAAAUAGGCUGUUUGAAGCAGCUGGAUUGGGCUAACAGCACUGGUAGCCAGGAGAGGAAGAAAAGGAGAGAAAGCUUACAGAUUUUUGUGAGGAUACCCUACAAUGCUUCGAAGAAAAAAUGGUGAUAAACUAAAUUAUAAUACUCAUUGGUCAGAAUUCUUCCAGGUCAGAAUUAUGAAUGAAGUAUCAAUGAUGCAAAGAACUGUGAGGCUGCAAAGUUACCAGCUGCUGUUCAGGUUCCUCAAAGGUGUCCAUGCUCCACGGAGGAUGCCACAGCAAGCCUUGCAAUUAUAGGAGUGCAUCCAACACGUGCGGUGGAAAAAGAGGCUCUUCUCAGUGCUCUUUGUGGAUGAGUAGGAGUGAUGCUGAUUCCCACAACAGGAUGAAAAUGCUAACGACGCAGUGCUUAAAAAAAAGGAGAAUGAGAACUUGCAGAAAUGAGGCUGGCACAGGGAGGCCACCCAGCCCACCUGCCCCAUUUCCCGUGGGAGUCUCUGCUGGAAAACAGUGCUUCCCCGGAGGACAGCAAUGCAGCAAACACCAUCAGCACCUCUUUCAGUUUUGUCAAGUUAGUGGGUUAAUGAGUUGGUAGGAAUCACUACAAACAUGCAGAGGAACAAAAGAGGGCCUGCUGAAGCGAAUCACGUUCUGCACUGCGUGCUCUGCAGCUCCCGAACAAAAUGGGCUAAGCAGGAAACAAAAGCUGGGCUUUGACUCCUGCUGCACUGGCUCAA
ensembl:lncRNA